rnacentral:tRNA from 1 species
CGUCAGAUAGCUCAGUGGUCUAGAGCAGUCGCCCGGCAAGCGAAAGACCCGGGUUCGAUUCUCGGUCCAGCGA